rnacentral:rRNA from 1 species
AUUGAACGCUGGCGGCAGGCUUAACACAUGCAAGUCGAGCGGAGAUGAGGUGCUUGCACCUUAUCUUAGCGGCGGACGGGUGAGUAAUGCUUAGGAAUCUGCCUAUUAGUGGGGGACAACAUUCCGAAAGGAAUGCUAAUACCGCAUACGUCCUACGGGAGAAAGCAGGGGAUCUUCGGACCUUGCGCUAAUAGAUGAGCCUAAGUCGGAUUAGCUAGUUGGUGGGGUAAAGGCCUACCAAGGCGACGAUCUGUAGCGGGUCUGAGAGGAUGAUCCGCCACACUGGGACUGAGACACGGCCCAGACUCCUACGGGAGGCAGCAGUGGGGAAUAUUGGACAAUGGGGGGAACCCUGAUCCAGCCAUGCCGCGUGUGUGAAGAAGGCCUUAUGGUUGUAAAGCACUUUAAGCGAGGAGGAGGCUACUGAGACUAAUACUCUG